GAGGGCAGGAGGUCAAGGUUCUCCUCCGCUCGCCCUGAUGUGCUGUGUGACCUAGGCCAAGUGCCUGGACUUCUCUGAGCCCCACCUCCCCACCUGAUAACCAGAGGGUGGACCCGGCGCCGGGCGCUCAAACCUGUGGCUCACGCCUGUAAUCCCAGCACUUUGGGAGGCCGAGGUGGGAGGAUGGCUUGAGCCCAGGAGUUUGAGACCAGCCUGGGCAACAUAGUGAGACCCCCUUAUGUACAACAAGUACAACAGCAAAAUUGCUUCUCGGCCUUUUGGCUAACAUCAAGUGAAGAACAACAGCAAAACAGCUGAGCAUAGUGGCAAGCACUGUAGUCCCCUACUUGGGAGGCUGAGUCUAGUUUACGUCCUCUGAAAACCCGCUUCCCAAAAGAAAGGCAAAGCCAAGUCUCUGGGCUCCCUGAACAGUGCUGUCUCUUCCAAGCAGAGAGUGGGGGGGGGGCUCUGGAAAGCCCUGAACUCUAGGAGCAAGGAAACAGCCGUGGCCAGCAGGGUCCCCCUCGGCCAGCAGCCCAGCCCUGGAACUCCAGAGGGAGCUUGCAAGAGGGUCCCCACAGAUUUCCCUGCUCUGGGGGUAACGAUGUUGAUGCUGCUGCUGCUGCUGCUGAUGAUGAUGAUGAUGAUGAUGAUGGUGAUGAUGAUGAUGAUAGCCACCGGAUAGGAAGUGCUAACUAUAGCCCAGGACCCAGCUCUGAGUGGCCAUGUGACCCAGUUCUCAGCAAUGACUCCUUGGGAGAAAUGUCAUUCCCAAAUAAAAAGACAAGACCCCAAAAGAAAGCUCUUUGCCUUUUUGCUCUUUUGCCCUUUUCCUGCCUGAAUUACAAAUGCAAUGCCUAUCUUUGGAUUU